GACGAACGCUGGCGGCGUGCUUAACACAUGCAAGUCGAGCGGUAAGGGCCCUUUCGGGGGUACACGAGCGGCGAACGGGUGAGUAACACGUGGGUGACCUGCCCUCAGCUCUGGGAUAAGCCUGGGAAACUGGGUCUAAUACUGGAUAUGACUCCACGGUGCAUGUCGUGGGGUGGAAAGCCUUGUGCGGCUGAGGAUGGGCCCNCGGCCUAUCAGCUUGUUGGUGGGGUGANGGCCUACCAAGGCGACGACGGGUAGCCGGCCUGAGAGGGCGACCGGCCA
rnacentral:rRNA from 1 species